UUUCCGUAGGUGAACCUGCGGAAGGAUCAUUAAUGAGUUGUCAUGGGGUUCGAUGCUGGCAGCCAAUUUUUGGAUGCAUGUGCUUGCCCUAACAAUCAUCUUCCGAACACCUGUGCACAUUUUUGAGGGAGUCUUGAGUUGGUUGCCGCUCUUGGGUGAUUUUCUCACAUUCCCUUAAAUCAUUAUACGCUAUUAACAAUGUUGAACGUGCUCUGUGCCGCAAGGCUAUUAAUAUAAUACAACUUUUAACAACGGAUCUCUUGGCUCUCACAUCGAUGAAGAACGCAGC
rnacentral:misc_RNA from 1 species